ensembl:snRNA U6 U6 spliceosomal RNA
UUGCUUCAGUAGCAAGUAUACUAAAAACUGGAAUGAUACAGAGAAGAUUAGGAUGGCCCCUGGGCAAGGAUGACAUGCAAAUUUGUGAAGCGUUCAUUUUAUUA